AUCCUCCAAGGCUAAAUACUCCUGACUGACCGAUAGUGAACCAGUACCGUGAGGGAAAGGCGAAAAGAACCCCGGCGAGGGGAGUGAAAAAGAACCUGAAACCGUGUACGUACAAGCAGUGGGAGCCUCUUUUAUGGGGUGACUGCGUACCUUUUGUAUAAUGGGUCAGCGACUUAUAUUCUGUAGCAAGGUUAACCGAAUAGGGGAGCCGGAGGGAAACCGAGUCUUAAUUGGGCGUUAAGUUGCAGGGUAUAGACCCGAAACCCGGUGAUCUAGCCAUGGGCAGGUUGAAGGUUGGGUAACACUAACUGGAGGACCGAACCGACUAAUGUUGAAAAAUUAGCGGAUGACCUGUGGCUGGGGGUGAAAGGCCAAUCAAACCGGGAGAUAGCUGGUUCUCCCCGAAAGCUAUUUAGGUAGCGCCUCGUGAAUUCAUCUCCGGGGGUAGAGCACUGUUUCGGCUAGGGGGCCAUCCCGGCUUACCAACCCGAUGCAAACUGCGAAUACCGGAGAAUGUUAUCACGGGAGACACACGGCGGGUGCUAACGUCCGUCGUGAAGAGGGAAACAACCCAGACCGCCAGCUAAGGUCCCAAAGUCAUGGUUAAGUGGGAAACGAUGUGGGAAGGCCCAGACAGCCAGGAUGUUGGCUUAGAAGCAGCCAUCAUUUAAAGAAAGCGUAAUAGCUCACUGGUCGAGUCGGCCUGCGCGGAAGAUGUAACGGGGCUAAACCAUGCACCGAAGCUGCGGCAGCGA
rnacentral:rRNA from 3 species